UUCUCUCGCCGAAGCCGAAACCUACGCCGACUGGGAGGGAUUAUAAAGGCUCUGGCCGGCGCCUUCCGGGCCUCCUACGUGAUCGUGAGAGCGUGGAGCUGCUCCCCGGCCCAGGUUCCACUGGAUCUGGAGGCGGCCGCUCCUUCGUCCACGAAAAUGGCAAGGUUCGGGUGUCCACUUUUCUCAAAUAAAAUGGUUUAACUUAG